AGCAUAUCUCCUCUUCUCUCGUUCUCUUUUUCACUCUCAAAAUAUAACUUAGAAGUAAAGAAAAAUUCAGCUUUAAAGGUUUAAGCCUUAGGCUCUUUUCACUUGGCAAUAACCAUUCCUCUGUUUAGUUCAUUUAAAGUUGCUAACCUCCACAGUCUUUAGCCAUGGAGACUGAGUCAGCAACUCAAGAGAAAGCUGGGCCGUUCACAAGUGCAUGGGGCUGGCUUAAGGCCUUGCCUGGUAAAUCAAAGUCCAAGGUGCUGAAAGUUGCAAAGAGCAUCAGAAAGCUUGGACAAGAUGACCCAAGAAGAGUCGUUCACUCCCUCAAAGUGGGACUUGCUCUCACAUUGGUGUCCUUGCUAUAUUAUUCUAGGACUCUCUAUGAUGGUUUUGGGGUUGCUGGAAUGUGGGCUGUGCUAACAGUGGUGGUAGUCUUUGAAUUCACUGUAGGUGGCACCAUGAGCAAGAGUUUGAAUAGAGGUUUUGCAACACUCCUGGCUGGUGCAUUAGGGGUUGGAGCUCAACACUUCGCAAGUCUCUUUGGAGAGAAAGAAGAACCUAUUGUUCUUGGAUUUCUUGUUUUCCUUUUAGGCGCAGCAUGUACAUUCACUCGAUUCUUCCCAAGAAUCAAGGCAAGAUAUGACUAUGGAGUCUUGAUAUUCAUAUUAACAUUCAGUAUGGUGUCAGUCUCCGGUUUUCGAGUAGUAGAGGUCUUAGAAAUGGUUCAUCAAAGGCUAUCAACAAUAAUAAUAGGUGGAGCAACCUGCAUAGUUGUAUCUACGUGUAUCUGUCCAGUCUGGGCUGGUGACGAUCUUCAUAACUUGAUUACUUCCAAUAUAGAAAAGCUUGCAAGCUACCUUGAAGGUUUGGGAGAUGAAUAUUUUCACUACUCAUCAGAGGAUGAGGGAAAGGCUAAGGUCUCCAAUAAAGACAAUUCGUUUCUUCAAGGAUAUAGAAGUGUCCUCAAUUCAAAAUCCACUGAAGAUUCCAUGGCAAAUCUUGCAAGAUGGGAGCCUAGACACGGCCGUUUCGGCUUCCGGCAUCCAUGGAAGCAAUACCUGAAAAUUGGAGCCAUCUCAAGGCAAUGUGCUUACCAUAUUGAAGCUCUUAAUAGCUACAUCAACUCUAAUAUCCAAGCAUCAGAGGAAUUCCAGAGUAAAAUUCAAGAACCAUGCACCAAAAUGAGUGAAGAAUCAGGCAAGGCACUAAGAUCCCUGGCCUCAGCAAUCAAAACAAUGAAAAAUCCCUCCCCUGCAAAUAUCCAUUUGGAAAACUCCAGAACUGCAAUUAAUGAACUCAAAGUUGCUGUAAAAGCUAGCUCACUAGAGCAAGCAGACCUCCUAGCAAUCGUGCCAGUUGCAACAGUUGCAUCCACAUUAAUUGAGAUCGUAAAAUGUGUGGAUAAAUUAUCUGAAGCAGUUCAUGAACUUGCUAAUCUAGCACAAUUCAAGCCUGUGGAAGCUAAUGUGUCACCAGAGAAACCUCAGUUAUUGCUUCACCGCGGAAUUGUAAAUCCUGUUCUUGAUGGUGAUAAUGAUACUGAUCAUAUUGUGAUUACAAUAGACGCCAACCCCACAGAUUCCCCAGAAAAUGAGAAGCCUCAGGCAACAAAGCCUCAGGCAACAAAGCCUAGCCACAUACAUCCUGAAGUGUAAAUAUUUUGUAACAAAAACAUGUGAACUAAUUUUCAUCAUAAUAGUUCACACUGUUAAGUAAAUUUGAUCUCUACUCUAGCUUCGUGAAGGAAAAAAAAGUAUUCCUGAAAUUGUCCCCACUAUUAGUUUGUAUUCCUUGUAACAAGUACUUAAGUUGAAAAAAAAAGUAUUCCUGAAAUUGUCCCCACUAUUAGUUUGUAUUCCUUGUAACAAGUACUUAAGUUGA
rnacentral:misc_RNA from 1 species